UUACGGCCGUAUCACGUUGAAACAUCGGUUCCCGUGCGAUCACCAAAAUUAAACAAAGUUGAUCCUGGUCAGUACCUAGAUGUAUGACCGCUUCGGAAUACUAGGUA